rnacentral:lncRNA from 1 species
CGGGAGUACUGGGGUGCGCGGGGGUCCCAGGGUGCACGUGGCAUACUGAGGUGCAUGGGGGCCCGGAGUGCACCUGGGUCCCGGGCUGCAGGUGGGGUCCCGUGGUGCAGGUGGGGUACUGUGGUGCAGGUGGGGUCCCGGGCUGCAGGUGGGGUACUGGGGUGCGGGGGUGCUGGGACACACGAGGUACGGACGGUGCUCGGGGGGUCCCGGGAUGCAGGAGUCUCCUGGGGUCGGGGCUGGUCCCGGGGCUCGUGCGCACGGCGCAAGUCCCAACCCGGGUCGCGAGCCCGGGGGUCCCCGCGCCUCAGCGCCCCGCCCGCCGCGCUCUCCGGCCCAGCGGCGAAAACGCUGGGCACCGACGCAGGGGGAAAAGCAUCGGGCCGCGCGGGCGGGCAGGCGCACUGACCGAAGCCGCCCCGGCGGGCCAGGCGCACGCGCGCACCCAGCCGGAGCCCCAUGGGCCGACGCCGGGCAGGUGCCUGAGCGCGGCCGGCGCCCCGCCCCCCUCCGGCCCCCUCCCGCCGCCGCCGCGUGCACGGGGCGGGGCCUGCUCUGCGGAGUGGGCGGGCCUAUACCGAUGAGUGGGCGGGGCCCCGCGCCGGCGGGGGCAUUAGAGGCGGCCGCCGGCGGGUGGGCGGAGCCUCCACGCGCGUACGCCGUGCUGGCCACGCCCCCUGCAGGAGCCCCGCCCCCGUGCGCGCCUGCCUGCUCCCCACGCGACGCCGGGCUCCGGGCGGCAAAGGCCAGCGGCCGCGACCCGAGCAGCGGCUGGAGGUUGGCCUCUGCCGGGGGCCGGCGGCCCAGCCGUUCGGGGUCCCCACCCCCGGGCCGUCCCCCGCCGAGCCCGGCUGGAGCCCUGGCUGUGACCCGCCUGUGACCCUGAGCGGGUGGCUGGCCCCGUCUCCCUCCGGACCGGCCGCGUGUGUCCGCAGUGGGGACCCGCGGUGACCGGGCCCGGGCUCUGCAGCAGACCCUUAAAGGGUGCGGCCCUGCAGGAGUGGACCAGAGACAGGGCUGGGCCUGGGGGUCCUGGCUUCCCCAAGACAGCCAGGGGGAAGCUGCGUGCUUCUCCUGACACGCUUCUGCCAUGUUCUGUGGCCGCGGCUGUCACCCAGCCUGGGCUCAAGGGGGUGGAGAUUAUAGAAAUUAAACUGUGCUUGUA